GCAAUACUUUAGUACAAUAAUGAGCACGCGGGGCCUUUAGGAGGCUGCUGCUGUUGGAACUUCUGUCAACAACUCUGAGGUUGCUUGUUCCUGAACAACAGAGGAGCCACCCCUGUGCUGGAAGUACCCUGCCUCGGAAGAGGAGAUUGGUUACAGACAAGCACAGAAGGAAGACCACACGAAGACACAGAAUGGAGGCUCUCUCUAUGCUACACAGAGAAGUCUCAGAAGAAACCAAUCUUGCUGGCACCUUGAUCUCAGGCUUCCAGCCUCCAGAAUUGUGAGAAAAUAAAGUUCUGUUGUUUGUCACCCCAUCUGUGGUAGGUUGUUAUGGCAGCCUGAGGAAACUAAUACAGGUGUCCUAAUGGAAAGGCCCAUGCUCUCAUAGCUGCUUGGCAGCCUCCAGGGUGAGUAAGAUGUGGCUGGAACGCAAGCACGCAUUGUCUGCAAGUCCUCAGCUGCUGAGGGAAGGCUGGACCUUGUGCUUGGCUGCAGGGUGUGGCCUCUGACACGGAAGCACUUUUCCAGCCCUGGGUGACUCUUGGAGUGAGUAUUAUCACAGACCAUGUCUGCACAAUUUACAUCCACCAAUGAAUUAACUUCUAUUUACAAGACUUGAAGAAAUGCACCAAGGUCGGCUGAAUGAAAACUCAACGUCAGUAGCAUUUUGUAAUUGAUGAUGAUGAUGAUGAAUUAAUUUGUGUACAAUGACUAUCAAUACCUAUUAUCAAUAUCCAUUACUUUUUUGUUUGUUUAUUUGUUUUUUUGGGUUUUCUUGUUUUGUUUUGUUUUUUUUUUUUUGCAUGUCUGAACUCUCUAUCUUGGUUGUAGCCUCAUUGUGGACAAGGAGUACAAUAACAUACUCAAUUUUGCAUCCUUU
rnacentral:lncRNA from 1 species